UCCCUCAAAGCGGCUUUGAACCAGCGACCUAAGGAUCAGCGUUGUAACAUCUACAGUCCUCCGCUCUGCCAACUGAGCUAUCGAGGG
rnacentral:tRNA from 1 species